CAGCCGCCGCGGUAACACGUAGGGUGCAAGCGUUAAUCGGAAUUACUGGGCGUAAAGCGUGCGCAGGCGGUCCGCUAAGACAGAUGUGAAAUCCCCGGGCUUAACCUGGGAACUGCAUUUGUGACUGGCGGGCUAGAGUAUGGCAGAGGGGGGUAGAAUUCCACGUGUAGCAGUGAAAUGCGUAGAGAUGUGGAGGAACACCAACGGCGAAAGCACUCUGCUGGGCCGACACUGACACUGAGAGACGAAAGCUAGGGGAGCAAAUGGGAUUAGAGACCCCCGUAGUCCCUGUCUCUUAUAC
rnacentral:rRNA from 1 species